GGCAUAUGGUUCAACGCAGUCCCUAAAUUCACUCCAGCAUGGGUUGGAAAUAGGGAUAACCCAGUCAAGAACACGACCUCAGUUGAGCUCACCAUUUCCCACGAUGGCAACCUUGUCAUCUUAAACCGGUCCACCAUGUCCAUAAUCUGGUCCACACAAGCAAACAUCUCCAGAAAUAGCACCACUGCUAGGCUGCUGAGUACUGGAAAUCUCGUACUCACAGACUCUUCAAACUUGUCAGAGUUUCUAUGGCAAAGCUUUGAUCACCCCACGGAUACAUUUUUUCCUGGGGCCAAGCAUGGAUGGGAU
rnacentral:rRNA from 1 species